rnacentral:rRNA from 1 species
AGGAUGAACGCUGGCGGCGUGCUUAACACAUGCAAGUCGAACGAUGAAGGCUGGAGCUUGCUCUGGCUGGAUUAGUGGCGAACGGGUGAGUAACACGUGAGUAACCUGCCCCAGACUCUGGGAUAAGCGCUGGAAACGGCGUCUAAUACCGGAUACGAGCUUCCACCGCAGUGGUGAGGAGCUAGGAAAGUAAUUUCGGUCUGGGAUGGACUCGCGGCCUAUCAGUCUUGUUGGUGAGGUAAGUGGCUCACCGAAGGCGACGGACGGGU